CAUAAUUCCAUCCGGUACGUUAGCCGCGUGAAUGACGUUAAUGAUGACGCUGCAAGUAAAGACAAUGGGACGUAGGGAUUGAAGGUAUGGCUUUAGUCGUCGUUGCGUCGAAGCCUUCAGCUGCGGAUGGUCAAUAGCUGCCGCUGCCACUGCGCGGUGUGAGAGGCGAUUUUCAUCUCGAUUUUGGCAUUUAUAAAUCGGAACUCCCGCUCUGUAGGACCGAUUCCGAUAUUUUUAGAUGCUGCGAUCGCGAUCGGCCUAGACGUUGCAUGCAGAUUUCGGCUUCGGAAUGCUCGGGACUAAUUAUAGCUUAUUAGCAUAAUAAUGGACAUUCGUCUCUCCUCGAUCGUGACAGGAUAAGAGGAAAUCCGGCGAAAGGGAGAGAAACUGAAAUUUUAGAGAAUGCAUUUUUUAUGAGAUGAGGGAUCGAGAUAUCUGAUGAAACUUAAGAGAACUUGUACUUGUAUUUGUUUUUGUUUUUGUUCGAAUCAGAAAUGCAGGAAGGUAUAAAAUAUAAUGAUUUUGCAGUCGUUAGAAAUAGCAAGAUUCAAGCGCAUAACUUAUAAUUAGAAAUAAAAAUAUUAGAAGGAAUAAAAUUACAAUUUAUACAGCAAUUAUUAUUAAUGCGAUCGCGUUAUAUAACAUAUAAAAUUAAAAUCCGUGCGAGUGAAUAAUGGAUCACGAGUUCUCGAAUUUAGAAUCGUUUGUAAAGAAAUCGAUACAUAUUAUUUA